rnacentral:rRNA from 1 species
UACGAAGGGAGCAAGCGUUACUCGGAUUUACUGGGCGUAAAGGGCGUGUAGGCGGCUUGGUCAGUCAGAUGUGAAAGCCCUGGGCUUAACCCAGGAACUGCAUUUGAUACUGCCAAGCUUGAGUAUAAGAGAGGUAAGCGGAAUUUCCAGUGUAGCAGUGAAAUGCGUAGAUAUUGGAAGGAACACCGAUGGCGAAGGCAGCUUACUGGCUUAUAACUGACGCUGAGGCGCGAAAGCGUGGGGAGCAAACAGG